AAUGAACGCUGGCGGCGUGCCUAACACAUGCAAGUCGCACGAGAAAGUCUGCCUUCGGGCGGGCGAGUAAAGUGGCGCACGGGUGAGUAACGCGUAGGUAAUCUACCCCCGGAACCGGGAUAACAGUGCGAAAGUGCUGCUAAUACCGGAUACGAUCUUUUGGCGGGAGCUGAAAGGUGAAAGUCGGCCUCUCGAAGAAGCCGGUGCUCGGGGAUGAGCCUGCGUCCUAUCAGCUAGUUGGCAGGGUAACGGCCUACCAAGGCGACGACAGGUAGCAGGUCGGGGAGGAUGAUCAGCCACACUGGCACUGAAACACGGGCCAGAGUCCUACGGGAGGCAGCAGUGAGGAAUUUUGCGCAAUGGGAGCAAUCCUGACGCAGCAACGCCGCGUGAGUGAUGAAGGCCUUCGGGUCGUAAAGCCCUGUCAGGUGGGAAGAAUGUCCCGGGACUGAACAGGUUUCGGGAGUGACGGUACCACCAGAGGAAGCACCGGCUAACUCCGUGCCAGCCGCCGCAGUAAAAC
rnacentral:rRNA from 1 species